rnacentral:rRNA from 1 species
GACGAACGCUGGCGGCGUGCAUAACACAUGCAAGUCGAGCGGAAAGGCCCUUCGGGGUACUCGAGCGGCGAACGGGUGAGUAACACGUGAGCAACCUGCCCCUAGCUUCGGGAUAGCUCCGGGAAACCGGAAUUAAUACCGGAUAUGACCGUGACCGACAUCAGUCACGGUGGAAAGUUUUUCGGCUAGGGAUGGACUCG